rnacentral:rRNA from 1 species
GAUGAACGCUAGCUACAGGCUUAACACAUGCAAGUCGCGGGGCAGCAUGGGGGUUGCUUGCACUCCCUGAUGGCGACCGGCGCACGGGUGAGUAACGCGUAUCCAACCUGCUCUUCACCACGGGAUAACCCGGCGAAAGUCGGACUAAUACCGUAUGUUGUCCAUUGACGGCAUCCGAUUUGUACGGAAGGCUUAGCGUUGAGUGAUGGGGUGGCGUAUGAUUAGCUUGACGGCGGGGGAACGGCCCACCGUGGCUACGAUCGGUAGGGGUUCUGAGAGGAAGGCCCCCCACACUGGAACUGAGGCCCAGUCCAGACUCCUACGCGGGGCAGCAGUGUGGAAUAUUGGGCAAUGAGCGUAAACCUGAACCAGCCAAGUGGCGUGCAGGAUGACUGCCCUAGUGGUUGUAAACUGCUUUGAUGCGGGGAUAAAGGGACCCACGUGUGGUUUUUUGCAGGUACCGCAUGAAUAAGGACCGGCUAAUUCCGUG